CUCAAAACAGUUUUCACAGAACUCUUUCACAAGUCAAACUCAGGUGUCAGGUGUUUUCACAGGUGGGAAAGCUUUUUUUUGGGGGGGGGGGGCAUGAGGUGACAAAUUGAAAGCAACCGCUCGUCUCAGAGCAAAUAGACCAUCGCCAAAAACAACUGAACCUCUCCAUCGCCACCAACAACUGAACCUCUUCAUCACCUCCACCCCCAAACACGUUAUUCAUAAUUGUUUUACAAUCUUCUGCUCGUCCGUUGGGACCAUUCGUAGCUGUCGGUGGGACGUUGCCCAGCUGUAGCCAUCGCUCAGCUGCAGGGCCGCGGUCCUCCUCAUCGUGGCCCUCGGGUGAGCCGGUGAUGUCCGGGCCAGGCUGAGGCUGACAAAUGGCUGACAAAAAUCCUGCAGAGCCAAUGUCGUCUGUGGGGUCAUGUCAAAGCCCUGUCAGCCCCCAUCUGCUCCGGAUGGACGGUGACUUGGUUGCAGUUUGUUUUAGCAGCAGGACAGAGAGGACUGAACACUGAACAAGUUUUUAGACGGGGUGACUGGGCAGUGACGUGAAGCAGCCAACUGACAAAACCUUCACAGGCCAGAAUAUUUUUUCAAUUGCCCACUGCCCACACACACACACACACACACACUUGGAUUACAUCAAUAAUAACAAUAAUAUAAUAAUGAGUGUAAUUGAACCGGCAGACUCAUCCCUGAUUCACCCUUCCCGACAGCUGGAGGA